AUGCGCCCUACAUCUUUUGAACAUGAUGUUAACCCUUUUUAUUCUGUUUGCAGGGCCAAAGCCAGACCCAGCAAGAAAGCUCGGGUCACCAAUCUGCCAGAAGACCCUGUUGCUGAAGAAGAAGAACCAAGAGGUGAAUCGGAGCAGACUGGUGAACCGGAAGGCCUCCAUCCUGAAACAACUUUUGAUGAUCCGCCCCUUGACGGCCAACACAUUGACGAACCAAUAGAUGUUGAGCCUGCCGCCCCUGAUACUGAACCGGCAGAACCAAACUGGGAUAAUCCAAUGAAAGACACUGAAAUUCCAUCAUCAGCCACCAAAAAACCUGAAGGCCAAGGUGAUGAUGUUAUUGUUACUGGAACAGGCCACAGCUCUCCUGGUCAUCCCGUCAUUUUGGCUUAG
rnacentral:rRNA from 1 species